CAACUUUCAACAAUGGAUCUCUUGGUUCUCGCAUCGAUGAAGAACGCAGCGAAAUGCGAUAAGUAAUGUGAAUUGCAGAUCUCAGUGAAUCAUCGAAUCUUUGAACGCACCUUGCGCUCUUUGGUAUUCCAAAGGGCAUGCCUGUUUGAGUGUCAUUA
rnacentral:rRNA from 3 species